rnacentral:rRNA from 1 species
CAACAGGGGGAUAACACUGAGAAAAUGGUACUAAUACCCCAUAAUAUCUCAUGCGGCAUCGCAUGGGGUUGAAAACUCCGGUGGUUGAUGAUGGGCAUGCGUUGUAUUAGCUGGUUGGUGAGGUAACGGCUCACCAAGGCGACGAUACAUAGGGGGACUGAGAGGUUAACCCCCCACAUUGGUACUGAGACACGGACCAAACUCCUACGGGAGGCAGCAGUGAGGAAUAUUGGUCAAUGGACGCAAGUCUGAACCAGCCAUGCCGCGUGCAGGAUGACGGCUCUAUGAGUUGUAAACUGCUUUUGUACGAGGGUAAACCCCGAUACGUGUAUUGGGUUGAAAGUAUCGUACGAAUAAGGAUCGGCUAACUCCGUGCCAGCAGCCGCGGUAAUACGGAGGAUCCGAGCGUUAUCCGGAUUUAUUGGGUUUAAAGGGUGCGUAGGCGGUUUGAUAAGUUAGAGGUGAAAUGUCGGGGCUCAACCCCGAAACUGCCUCUAAUACUGUUGGACUAGAGAAUAGUUGCGGUAGGCGGAAUGUAUGGUGUAGCGGUGAAAUGCUUAGAGAUCAUACAGAACACCGAUUGCGAAGGCAGCUUACCAAACUAUAUCUGACGUUGAGGCACGAAAGCGUGGGUAGCAAACAGGAUUAGAUACCCUGGUAGUCCACGCAGUAAACGAUGAUAACUCGUUGUCGGCGAUACACAGUCGGUGACUAAGCGAAAGCGAUAAGUUAUCCACCUGGGGAGUACGUUCGCAAGAAUGAAACUCAAAGGAAUUGACGGGGGCCCGCACAAGCGGAGGAACAUGUGGUUUAAUUCGAUGAUACGCGAGGAACCUUACCCGGGCUUGAAAGUUAGCGACGACGCUUGAAAGAGCGUUUCCCUUCGGGGCGCGAAACUAGGUGCUGCAUGGUUGUCGUCAGCUCGUGCCGUGAGGUGUCGGGUUAAGUCCCAUAACGAGCGCAACCCCUACUGUUAGUUGCCAUCAGGUGAUGCUGGGCACUCUAGCGGGACUGCCGGUGUAAGCCGAGAGGAAGGUGGGGAUGACGUCAAAUCAGCACGGCCCUUACGUCCGGGGCCACACACGUGUUACAAUGGUAGGUACAGAGGGCAGCUACCCUGCGAAGGGGUGCGAAUCUCGAAAGCCUAUCUCAGUUCGGAUUGGAGGCUGAAACCCGCCUCCAUGAAGUUGGAUUCGCUAGUAAUCGCGCAUCAGCCAUGGCGCGGUGAAUACGUUCCCGGGCCU